AGUUGGUGGAGUGAUUUGUCUGGUUAAUUCCGAUAACGAACGAGACUUUAACCUGCUAAAUAGUUGUCUAACGAACUGGUUGGACCUGACUUCUUAGAGGAACUUUGCGUGCGUAGCGCAAGGAAGUGUAAGGCAAUAACAGG
rnacentral:rRNA from 1 species